rnacentral:tRNA from 1 species
GCCGACGUAGCUCAAAGGCAGAGCAGCGGUUUUGUAAACCGCAGGUUGUCGGUUCGAGUCCGACCGUCGGCU